rnacentral:misc_RNA from 1 species
AACACUGUUAACCUGCGGACCUGCGGAAGGAUCAUUACCGAGUUUACAACUCCCAAACCCCUGUGAACAUACCACUUGUUGCCUCGGCGGAUCAGCCCGCUCCCGGUAAAACGGGACGGCCCGCCAGAGGACCCCUAAACUCUGUUUCUAUAUGUAACUUCUGAGUAAAACCAUAAAUAAAUCAAAACUUUUAACAACGGAUCU